GUCUACAGCCAUGCUACCCUGAACAAGCCUGAACCAGUCUGAUCUUGGAAGCUAAGCAGGGUCAGGCCUGGUUAGUACUUGGAUGGGAGACCACCUAGAAAGACCAGGUGCUGUAGGCA
rnacentral:rRNA from 1 species